rnacentral:lncRNA from 1 species
UUGUAUCUUAUCAUCAUUGAGUUCAUUGAGUUUUUAAGCCAAAACCCUUUCCAAACCCUAAGGAUCUAGUGAAGGAAUUGAAUUACAAGGAAAAUUUUGGUUUCAUUUUUAUAUCUGAAUAACUCAAUUCCAUGUAACGAUACAUUUUUUUAUGUUUUUAAAUAAAAUUAAUGAAAACUUAUUAAAGUUGGGUGCCUAAUGUAGUAGCCCAUUUCUGCCCAGGCCCAUAAUUAAAUAAAUAAAAACAAUAAAAAAUAAUAGUUUUUUAUAACAGUCCAUUAAAUAAAGGCCCUUUAAAUAGUCCAUUUACAGCCAAGGCCCGUUAGCCCAAAAGCCCUAUACCCGUUACACCCAAAUACCUAACUAAACCAAUCCAAUUCUAAGCCUAUCCCAAACCCAAUAAGCAGCAGCCCAACGAAGCCCAAACUUGAAACACCAGGAGACCUAGGGUUUCCUGGGAAACCCUCGCGCCGCAGCAAGCAACACAACCCCAUGUUGCGCCGCAAUCGGCGCCUGGAUUGAGCCCCACCGCCGAAGAUUGCACUAUUAAACCUGCAAGAAAAGGAAAGAAGCAAGCAAUCAGUCAAUAAAUCAGAAUCUGAAUCGGGAUUUAGUUUUUUUAGAUUCACCUGUAAACAGUAUAAAUGGGUAAAAAACAGUGUAAAUAGGGGGAUUCAAAAGAUUUUGAAAGAAAAUACAAGUUCAGUUUUCUAUUUUAUUCGGAUUAGAACUGAAUUUUUAUUUUAUUUUCAUUUCAUUCAUAUAUACAUGAAACAAAAAAAUACCGAAAGGUUUUUGGGUUACUAUUGCUUUCGUACAAAAUAUUUUUUAAGAAAAAUAAAAGGAGAGGGUUUACCUAUGUUUCCAACGAAAAAGAGAAGUUUUUGGGCCCACUGACCGCCGUGUGUGACCGCGCGUGUGGUGGCGCGUGACGUCGGAGCUAGGCCGAUCACUGGCCGGAGCUCAGAAGGCCUUUAGAGGUUUUGAAGGAGUUUUUUUUAAAAAAACAAAGGUUAAAAUGAAUUUUAGGUUUAAAAUUAGCUUAUUUAGUAUAACCAAAACGACGCCGUUUUUUGCUUAAUUCAUAAGCCUCAAAACGACGCCGUUUAAGUAAAGGAUCCGCACGUUGACCCGUUUAACCCGGAAGGAUCUGCGCGUUUUAAUUAAAAGGGAUAUUUCCCUUCCAGGUGCUUCCGCAUUUUUAAUCUUCAUAAUUUCAUUUUAUUUUUAUUUUAAUUCGGCCCCGAUCUUUUAUACUAGUUUCAAUUUAGUCCCAGUUGUUUAAGUAAGAUUUUUUUUAAAAAACG